rnacentral:sRNA from 1 species
GCCGCCCGCGGCUGCAGUUAGCCCGGGAGGAGGAAGACGGCGUGGAACUCGUUCUUCUCGCCCCCCUCCGCCGACUCCCAUCCUUUCCAGAGUGAAGAUACACAACAGCAAAUCAUCAGGGAGACUUUCCAUUUGGUAUCUAAGAGAGAUGAAAAUGUUUGUAAUUUCCUAGAAGGAGGAUUAUUAAUUGGAGGAUCUGACAACAAACUGAUUUAUAGACAUUAUGCAACGUUAUAUUUUGUCUUCUGUGUGGAUUCUUCAGAAAGUGAACUUGGCAUUUUAGAUCUAAUUCAAGUA